rnacentral:rRNA from 1 species
GACGAACGCUGGCGGCGUGCUUAACACAUGCAAGUCGAGCGGUAAGGCCCUUUCGGGGGUACGACGAGCGGCGAACGGGUGAGUAACACGUGGGUGACCUGCCCUCAGCUCUGGGAUAAGCCUGGGAAACUGGGUCUAAUACCGGAUAUGACUCCAUGACGCAUGUUGUGGGGUGGAAAGCCUUGUGCGGCUGAGGAUGGGCCCGCGGCCUAUCAGCUUGUUGGGGGGGUGAUGGCCUACCAA